rnacentral:rRNA from 1 species
GUGAGGAAUUUUCCGCAAUGGGCGAAAGCCUGACGGAGCAAUGCCACGUGAAGGAUGAAGGCCUAUGGGUUGUAAACUUCUUUUCUCAGAAAAGAAUUAUGACGGUAUCUGAGGAAUAAGCAUCGGCUAACUCUGUGCCAGCAGCCGCGGUAAGACAGAGGAUGCAAGCGUUAUCCGGAAUGAUUGGGCGUAAAGCGUCUGUAGGUUGUUUAAAAAGUAUUCUGUCAAAGAUUAGGGCUUAACCCUAGAUAGGCAGAAUAAACUUUUAAGCUAGAGUUUGGUAGAGGCAGAGGGAAUUCCCGGUGGAGCGGUGAAAUGCGUAGAUAUCGGGAGGAACACCAAAGGCGAAGGCACUCUGCUGGGCCAAUACUAACACUGAGAGACGAAAGCGAGGGGAGCAAAUGGGAUUAGAUACCCGAGUAGUCC